GAUAAACGCUGGCGGUGUGCCUAAUGCAUGCAAGCCGAACGGCCCGAUUUAUCGGGCAGUGGCGAACGGGUGAGUAACACGUAAGUACCUACCCUCAAGUGGGGGAUAACCCCGAGAAAUCGGGGCUAAUACCGCAUACGCUCCCCGAUUAUAUCGAGGAGGAAAGUUGAGGCGCUUGAGGACGGGCUUGCGUCCGAUUAGCUAGUUGGUGUGGUAAGGGCUCACCAAGGCUAAGAUCGGUAGCUGGUCUGAGAGGAUGAUCAGCCACACUGGGACUGAGAUACGGCCCAGACUCCUACGGGAGGCAGCAGCAGGGGAUAUUGCGCAAUGGGUGAAAGCCUGACGCAGCAACACCGCGUGGGGGAAGAAGGCUCUCGGGUCGUAAACCCCUUUUCUCAGGGAAGAUAAUGACGGUACCUGAGGAAUAAGUCUCGGCUAACUACGUG
rnacentral:rRNA from 1 species